UUGACCUUAAAUCAGGUAGGACUACCCGCUGAACUUAAGCAUAUCAAUAAGCGGAGGA
rnacentral:rRNA from 1 species